UUGCCCAGGCCCAGGGUUCCUCAAAAUCAAAAUGGGAUAUUGUGUUCUUUUCUUUGCAGCAGGAUGUGGCCAUGGAGCAUGAGUUUUGGCCAAUUGGAUGGAAGCUGCAAUGUUGAGUGGCAGUUUCUGGGAACUACUCUCAGGAGGCAGCUGGUGCCAGUUCUUUGCUUCGCCGUCCCUUCGUGUCUUCCUGCAUCCUGCUGCUGUCAUGAGGACGUGCCCCGAGGAGUGAUGACAAAGCAGUCAACAGGAGAGCUUGUGUCCUUGAGGACAUUACCGGAGUAAUAGUCAAUGAUUCAUACCUAACUUCGUAUAGUGAAUAAAGACGGGAUGGAGACUACUGCUGAUCAGAGAAAGGGAAAAAAAAGUGAGAAGUGGUUGAGGAGAAGCUAGGGCCACAAAAACAGUUUUGUAAUAUGUGAAAAACAGAGAGCAGACAACACCAUUGUCAUCCAACACAGUCCAGUUCUCCAACUACCUAGAACUGUUCUUAAAUUAACCAGGCUCUCUCAAACCACCAUUCCUUUCUUCAUGCUGUGUCCUUGGGGUAUGUGUGUCUUUGGCAGGGGGGUGAGGUUGUCCAGCCUUCCUUGGCCUGAAAAAGUCCUCCUCAUUUGGCAAAGUCCAACUCUCAUGUCUUGUCCAUUUUUUCUUUGAGGGUCUCCCAGGUCCCACUGGUAACCUAACUUUUCUCUUUCAGUUUCCACGUGUGGACUUCUGUUAAUUUCAAUUUAGUGCUUUUCAUAUUCUGCUCCAUAUUUCAGUUCAGUGGGUUGAUACCUGCCUCUCAAGAUAUUAUAAACUCUUGGAAGCUAGGGUCUCAUCAUUGCUGUCUACAACACCUAGUCUAGGGAUUAUGUUUGAUUGUGAUUGACAGAAAUCUGGCUUAAAGAAACUGAAAUAGGGAACUUGUUUCCUUUCUAUCAUAAGAAGCCUAGAAGUAGGCAGCUGAAGCCACUGGUUUGGCAACUCGACAACAAGUCUACAUCUCCAGACUUCUCUGGGUGUUUUCUUCUUGGUUGCAAGACGGCGGCAUCUCAGCCAGCCUUCUGCAGAGACCAGCACACUUCCUUAUCUCUUAGGUCAGAACUGACUCUCAUGGUAAUUCCUAAGUAUAGCCGGGGUGGGGGUGGGGGAGUGGUGUUGAGUUUUAUAGCCUAGUGUAGAAACUGACAAAAGGAAGCAGGUUGGAAUAGGUUUCAAGUUAGCUGCCCUCCCGAUGGCUGACAAUUCUCUCAGUGCUUGUGCAAGGCGUGCAAGGUUAGACGGUGGUCCAGCAAGAACUCUUCCUCACAAGGCCUUUGGAACAGUAAGAACAAUCACCAGCAUUUUAAGAAAUGUAAAAAAUUUAAGAAAUUUAAAUUUCCUCAAGUGUGCCUUGAAGCUAUAAAUUAAGCCUUAAUUCAACAGGUGCUUUCAAAAGAGUUAAAUACAUAUUCAUGCAUCCUUAUUUUUUGCUUUUUGAUUCUUUAUGGCACAGGGGAUGGAUUUGAUAAAAAUAAUAUGUAGGGAGGCACAGAAGUCAGAAUGAGGGGACGUCCGGAUGGCUCAGUCAGUGAAGCGUAGCCUUCAGCUCAGGUCAUGAUCUCAGGGUCCUGGGAUGGAGCCCCACGUUGGGCUCCAUGAUCAGCGAGGAGUCUGCUGCUCCCUUUCCUUCUGCUGCUCCUCCUGCUUGGGCUCUCUCUCUCUCUCAAAUAAAUAAAUAAAGCCUUAAAAAAAAAAGUUGGAUUGCAAGGAUGUGGGGCAGAAGGAAAGCACAAGUGUGAUUUUACUGUGUUGAACUGUGAGGUUCCAGGGCCAGGAGGACUUGAAAGGCAGAAAGAAAUGUGGAUGGCUGACAUGAACUGUGUCG
rnacentral:lncRNA from 1 species